UACGAAGGGGGCUAGCGUUGCUCGGAAUCACUGGGCGUAAAGCGCACGUAGGCGGACUCUUAAGUCGGUGGUGAAAUCCUGGAGCUCAACUCCAGAACCGCCUUCGAUACUGGGAGUCUCGAGUCCGGGAGAGGUGAGUGGAACUGCGAGUGUAGAGGUGAAAUUCGUAGAUAUUCGCAAGAACACCAGUGGCGAAGGCGGCUCACUGGCCCGGUACUGACGCUGAGGCGCGAAAGCGUGGGGAGCGAACAGG
rnacentral:rRNA from 1 species